rnacentral:misc_RNA from 1 species
GAUGAAGAACGUAGCGAAAUGCGAUAAGUAAUGUGAGUUGCAGAAUUCAGUGAAUCAUCGAAUCUUUGAACGCACAUUGCGCCCCCUGGUAUUCCGGGGGGCAUGCCUGUCCGAGCGUCAUUACAACCCUCAAGCUCAGCUUGGUGUUGGGCCCCGCCGCCCCGGCGGGCCCUAAAGUCAGUGGCGGUGCCGUCCGGCUCCGAGCGUAGUAAUUCUUCUCGCUCUGGAGGUCCGGUCGUGUGCUCGCCAGCAACCCCCAAUUUUUUUCAGGUUGACCUCGGAUCAGGUAGGGAUACCCGCUGAACUUAAGCAUAUCAAUAAGCGGAGGA